rnacentral:rRNA from 1 species
AGAGUUUGAUCAUGGCUCAGAUUGAACGCUGGCGGUAUGCUUAACACAUGCAAGUCGAACGGUAGCGCGGAGAGCUUGCUCUCUGGCGACGAGUGGCGGACGGGUGAGUAACGCGUGGGAAUCUGCCUACUAGUGGGGGACAACCUGGUGAAAACCAGGCUAAUACCGCAUACGCCCUACGGGGGAAAGCAGGGGAUCUUCGGACCUUGCGCUAGUAGAUGAGCCCGCGUCAGAUUAGCUUGUUGGUAGGGUAAUGGCCUACCAAGGCGACGAUCUAUAGCUGGUCUGAGAGGACGAUCAGCCACACUGGGACUGAGACACGGCCCAGACUCCUACGGGAGGCAGCAGUGGGGAAUAUUGGACAAUGGGCGCAAGCCUGAUCCAGCAAUACCGCGUGUGUGAAGAAGGCCUGCGGGUUGUAAAGCACUUUCAAUUGUGAAGAAAAGCUCAGGAUUAAUACUCCUGGGUCUUGACGUUAACUUUAGAAGAAGCACCGGCUAGCCCUGUGCCAGCAGCCGCGGUAAUACAGGGGGUGCGAGCGUUAAUCGGAAUUACUGGGCGUAAAGCGUGCGUAGGCGGAUUGUUAAGUCAGAUGUGAAAGCCCCGGGCUCAACCUGGGAACUGCAUUUGAUACUGGCAAUCUAGAGUGUAGUAGAGGGGGGUAGAAUUCCUAGUGUAGCGGUGAAAUGCGUAGAUAUUAGGAGGAAUACCAGUGGCGAAGGCGGCCCCCUGGACUAACACUGACGCUGAGGUACGAAAGCGUGGGUAGCAAACAGGAUUAGAUACCCUGGUAGUCACGCCGUAAACGAUGUCAACUAGUCGUUGGAUCCUUCAGGAUUUAGUGACGCAGCUAACGCGUGAAGUUGACCGCCUGGGGAGUACGGCCGCAAGGUUAAAACUCAAAUGAAUUGACGGGGGCCCGCACAAGCGGUGGAGCAUGUGGUUUAAUUCGAUGCAACGCGAAGAACCUUACCUACCCUUGACAUCAUCAGAACUUGUUAGAGAUAACUCGGUGCCUUCGGGAACUGGUUGACAGGUGCUGCAUGGCUGUCGUCAGCUCGUGUCGUGAGAUGUUGGGUUAAGUCCCGCAACGAGCGCAACCCUUGUCCUUAGUUGCCAGCACGUAAUGGUGGGAACUCUAAGGAGACUGCCGGUGAUAAACCGGAGGAAGGUGGGGAUGACGUCAAGUCAUCAUGGCCCUUAUGGGUAGGGCUACACACGUGCUACAAUGGUAAGUACAGAGGGCAGCGAAGCGGCAACGUUAAGCAAAUCCCACAAAACUUAUCGUAGUCCGGAUUGGGGUCUGCAACUCGACCCCAUGAAGUCGGAAUCGCUAGUAAUCGUGAAUCAGAAUGUCACGGUGAAUACGUUCCCGGGCCUUGUACACACCGCCCGUCACACCAUGGGAGUGGGCUGCAAAAGAAGUAGGUAGCAUAACCUUCGGGAGUGCGCUUACCACUUUGUGGUUCAUGACUGGGGUGAAGUCGUAACAAGGUA